AUUAGCAAAAGAAAAAGUAAUGUAUGAAAAAGAAGCUUUGAAAGAGAAAGAAAAGUUAGAAAAAAUGCAAGCUUCUGGAGAAGAUAGUUAUUUAAUAAGAAAACAGGAAGAAGUGAUGAAAGAAUCUCGGAUGAUGAUUCCAGAUACUAUAAAGCGUUAUCAAGUUGCUUAUCAAGAACUACAAGAAAUGUUGG